GAUGAACGCUGGCGGCGUGCCUAAUACAUGCAAGUCGGGCGAACAGAUAAGGAGCUUGCUCCUUUGACGUUAGCGGCGGACGGGUGAGUAACACGUGGAUAACCUACCUAUAAGACUGGGAUAACUUCGGGAAACCGGAGCUAAUACCGGAUAACAUAUUGAACCGCAUGGUUCAAUAGUGAAAGGCGGCUUUGCUGUCACUUAUAGAUGGAUCCGCGCCGUAUUAGCUAGUUGGUAAGGUAACGGCUUACCAAGGCAACGAUACGUAGCCGACCUGAGAGGGUGAUCGGCCACACUGGAACUGAGACACGGUCCAGACUCCUACGGGAGGCAGCAGUAGGGAAUCUUCCGCAAUGGGCGAAAGCCUGACGGAGCAACGCCGCGUGAGUGAUGAAGGUCUUCGGAUCGUAAAACUCUGUUAUCAGGGAAGAACAAAUGUGUAAGUAACUGUGCACAUCUUGACGGUACCUGAUCAGAAAGCCACGGCUAACUACGU
rnacentral:rRNA from 1 species